CCUACGGGGUGCAGCAGUGAGGAAUAUUGGUCAAUGGACGAGAGUCUGAACCAGCCAAGUAGCGUGAAGGAUGACUGCCCUAUGGGUUGUAAACUUCUUUUAUAUGGGAAUAAAAUGUUCCACGUGUGGGAUUUUGUAUGUACCAUAUGAAUAAGGAUCGGCUAACUCCGUGCCAGCAGCCGCGGUAAUACGGAGGAUCCGAGCGUUAUCCGGAUUUAUUGGGUUUAAAGGGAGCGUAGGUGGAUUGUUAAGUCAGUUGUGAAAGUUUGCGGCUCAACCGUAAAAUUGCAGUUGAAACUGGCAGUCUUGAGUACAGUAGAGGUGGGCGGAAUUCGUGGUGUAGCGGUGAAAUGCUUAGAUAUCACGAAGAACUCCGAUUGCGAAGGCAGUUCACUGGACUGCAACUGACACUGAGGCUUGAAAGUGUGGGUAUCAAACAGGAUUAGAUACCCGUGUAGUC
rnacentral:rRNA from 1 species